UAUGGCCACAUCAUGUUGAAACACUAGUUUCCGUCCAAUCACCAAAGUUAACGAACGUUGAGCCUGAUCAGUACCUAGAUGGGUGACCGCUUGGGAAUACCAGGUGCUGUAA